rnacentral:rRNA from 1 species
UGGGGAAUAUUGCACAAUGGGCGCAAGCCUGAUGCAGCCAUGCCGCGUGUAUGAAGAAGGCCUUCGGGUUGUAAAGUACUUUCAGCGAGGAGGAAGGCGUUGUGGUUAAUAACCGCAGCGAUUGACGUUACUCGCAGAAGAAGCACCGGCUAACUCCGUGCCAGCAGCCGCGGUAAUACGGAGGGUGCAAGCGUUAAUCGGAAUUACUGGGUGUAAAGCGCACGCAGGCGGUCUGUCAAGUCGGAUGUGAAAUCCCCGGGCUCAACCUGGGAACUGCAUCCGAAACUGGCAGGCUAGAGUCUUGUAGAGGGGGGUAGAAUUCCAGGUGUAGCGGUGAAAUGCGUAGAGAUCUGGAGGAAUACCGGUGGCGAAGGC